rnacentral:rRNA from 1 species
AGUGAACGCUGGCGGUAGGCCUAACACAUGCAAGUCGAACGGCAGCACAGUAAGAGCUUGCUCUUACGGGUGGCGAGUGGCGGACGGGUGAGGAAUACAUCGGAAUCUACUUUUUCGUGGGGGAUAACGUAGGGAAACUUACGCUAGUACCGCAUACGACCUACGGGUGAAAGCAGGGGAUCUUCGGACCUUGCGCGAUUGAAUGAGCCGAUGUCGGAUUAGCUAGUUGGCGGGGUAAAGGCCCACCAAGGCGACGAUCCGUAGCUGGUCUGAGAGGAUGAUCAGCCACACUGGAACUGAGACACGGUCCAGACUCCUACGGGGGGCAGCAGUGGGGAAUAUUGGACAAUGGGCGCAAGCCUGAUCCAGCCAUACCGCGUGGGUGAAGAAGGCCUUCGGGUUGUAAAGCCCUUUUGUUGGGAAAGAAAAGCAGCAGGUUAAUACCCCGCUGUUCUGACGGUACCCAAAGAAUAAGCACCGGCUAACUUCGUG